rnacentral:rRNA from 1 species
CUACGGGGUGCUCCAGUGGGGAAUCUUAGACAAUGGGCGCAAGCCUGAUCUAGCCAUGCCGCGUGAGUGAUGAAGGCCUUAGGGUCGUAAAGCUCUUUCGCCAGAGAUGAUAAUGACAGUAUCUGGUAAAGAAACCCCGGCUAACUCCGUGCCAGCAGCCGCGGUAAUACGGAGGGGGUUAGCGUUGUUCGGAAUUACUGGGCGUAAAGCGCACGUAGGCGGAUUAGAAAGUUGGGGGUGAAAUCCCGGGGCUCAACCUCGGAACGGCCUCCAAAACUCCUAGUCUAGAGUUCGAGAGAGGUGAGUGGAAUUCCAAGUGUAGAGGUGAAAUUCGUAGAUAUUUGGAGGAACACCAGUGGCGAAGGCGGCCCACUGGCUCGAUACUGACGCUGAGGUGCGAAAGUGUGGGGAGCAAACAGGAUUAGAUACCCUCGUAGUC